rnacentral:rRNA from 1 species
CGGAAGGUGGGAGGAUAUGAGGCGGGGCUAUACAUGCAAGUCGAGCGGACAGAAGGGAGCUUGCUCCCGGAUGUUAGCGGCGGACGGGUGAGUAACACGUGGGUAACCUGCCUGUAAGACUGGGAUAACUCCGGGAAACCGGAGCUAAUACCGGAUAGUUCCUUGAACCGCAUGGUUCAAGGAUGAAAGACGGUUUCGGCUGUCACUUACAGAUGGACCCGCGGCGCAUUAGCUAGUUGGUGAGGUAACGGCUCACCAAGGCGACGAUGCGUAGCCGACCUGAGAGGGUGAUCGGCCACACUGGGACUGAGACACGGCCCAGACUCCUACGGGAGGCAGCAGUAGGGAAUCUUCCGCAAUGGACGAAAGUCUGACGGAGCAACGCCGCGUGAGUGAUGAAGGUUUUCGGAUCGUAAAGCUCUGUUGUUAGGGAAGAACAAGUGCAAGAGUAACUGCUUGCACCUUGACGGUACCUAACCAGAAAGCCACGGCUAACUACGUGCCAGCAGCCGCGGUAAUACGUAGGUGGCAAGCGUUGUCCGGAAUUAUUGGGCGUAAAGGGCUCGCAGGCGGUUUCUUAAGUCUGAUGUGAAAGCCCCCGGCUCAACCGGGGAGGGUCAUUGGAAACUGGGAAACUUGAGUGCAGAAGAGGAGAGUGGAAAUUCCACGUGUAGCGGUGAAAUGCGUAGAGAUGUGGGAGGGAACCACCAGUGGGCGAAAGCGACUCUCUGGGUCUGUAACUGACGCUGAGAGCGAAAGCGUGGGGGAGCGAACAGGAUUAGAUACCCCUGGUAGUCCAACGCCGUAGACGAUGAGUGCUAAGUGUUAGGGGUUUCCGCCCCCUUAGUUGCUGCAGGCUAACGGCAUUAGGCACUUCCCGGCUUGGGGGAGUACGGUUCGACAGGACUGGAUCUCAAAGGAUGGACCGAGGCGCACAAGCCGUUGAAUCCAUGUGAUAGUUCGAUGCAACGUCGA